rnacentral:pre_miRNA from 1 species
CCUCACGUUGAGCCAGACGUACAAUACCUGAAGACGAAGUUUUGUUCGUUCGGCUCGCGUUAAGCAGGU